rnacentral:lncRNA from 1 species
AUGUGCCACGAAGUGAGUAUAAAGUUUGAAUUUCGCUUGUUUAGAUCAUUUAUAGUUAAUUUUUAUAUUUGCAUUUAUGAACGGUUUUCUUGAAUUUUUGGUAUGAGCAUUUAAUAAUACAUAAUAUAAUUUAUAACUUCAUGUUCAAAUUUAGAAAUUACUUCAUAUGAUAAACUACUACAUAAUGUUCAAAUUUAGAAAUUCAAAACUUAAUAAACCAUAAAAUAACAAAUUUAUAACUUCUUGAAUACAGUCAAAAAAACUUAAUUUAAUUUAAAAAGAAAUAAUAAUGUCAUGUCAGUAUAAACUUAUUUUAGGUCAAUAUGUAUAGGUCAAAUAUCUAGCCAACCAACCUAUUGUAAUUCAUAACUUCUUGACUACAAAAGUUAUAUGUUAAACUACACCUUUGAUGGUUAUGCUUUGCAGCAAGGUGCUGGCUCAAUAGGUACUUCAUGAAAUUGUACAGUUUGUGUUUGCAACAAAUAUGAGCUGCCCCAUCCAUAAGAACUUGCAUUUAAAAGUGAGCAAUCUAUUUACUUAACCGAAUUUUUGCCAGGCCACUACUAUAAGGAAAUUUUCUUGCCAUAAAUGGUGAGAUCGUUGCAUAAUUCAUGAAGGAUUGAAUCAACUUCCAAGAGUGAAGAAGUACUAGUACAAAUAUAUAUACAUCUAACUACAAUGAAUUUAAUAUGCUAACUAACCAACUUAUUUUAGUAUCAAGAGCAACUUGUGACUGGUCUUUGCAUAUACUAGAUGAGUAUAUUGAAUUAAUUAAUUAAUUUUUCUAUUUGAUUUGUGUGAAUUAAAUUAAUUUAUAGUAGAUGUGGUCCUUCAAUCACAAACUCAUCAAUCCAUAGAUAAAAGUAAAUGGUAAAAAAAAUAGAUAUUAGAUUAAGCCUUAUUUACAUAACAAUUCAUAAGCAAGCUCUAACAUCAACCAUAUAAAACUACUACUAAAUUUUUUAUGCUUAUUUCUCUUCUUAAAUCAACCACACUGAAAUGAUUGAAAACAAUAGUAACAUAUAAUUAUCUUAGAAAAAGAAAUAAAUUAAAUUACCAACUCAAAGAUUCUUCUUCCUAAUUGGCAAAGGCAAUUUAACAGAAAUUGUAGAUUUAGAAUUACAAGAUCUAAAAGAACCAGUUCUCAUAAACAACAAAAAAGAGUUAACAAUUUUCUUAACCUUAACAGCAACCCUUUUAAUCUUAGGCUUUUUGGGUUGUACAAAAUUAUCCAAAGAUGAUAACUUGUAAGUUGUGAGAAAGAUUUGUCUUUGUUUUGCUCUUCUUCUUCUGUAGCUAAUAGACUUUAGCAUGUUGUUGUCUUUCCCUUGUAAACUAAGAAGCUCAUAUUUGUGUCUGCGGCUGAAGGUUAGUGUUGUGUUUCGAACAAGUGUGUUCAUGGCUUAAAAAAACAGAACAAAAGGAGGGUUUUCUUCAAUUCUUGUUUGUGGUCACAAUUUUUAGAGUUUGGUUUUGAUACUUUUCUUUACCAAUAUAAAGGGAACAACUUUAUGGGCUGUUUAUAUAUUGGUUCUCACUGUCUUCUAGUUUGUGUUGAAUGUUUUGAUAUUUUUUUUUUUUUUUUGUAAAAGUGUGUUUGACUGUUUUUUCUAAAAUUAUUUUUUUCUUACUUGGCGUGCGC